AAGUCGUAACAAGGUUUCCUGUAGGUGAACCUGCGGAAGGAUCAUUUCAAGUGAGGCUACCCGAAACGCUGGAAACAGCGGUUUAGGAGCUUACACCCACCCGUGUUUAUCAUACUAUUGUUGCUUUGGCGGGCCGUGGCCUCCACUGCGGGCUCUGCUCGUGUGUGCCCGCCAGAGGACCAAACUCUUGAAUGUUAGUGAUGUCUGAGUUACUAUUCUAAUAGUUAAAAU
rnacentral:misc_RNA from 1 species